rnacentral:rRNA from 1 species
AUCUACAGCCAAGACACCUUGAACACACUGGGUCUUAUCUGAUCUGCGAAGCCAUGCAGUGUCAGGCCUGGUUAGUGCUUGAAUGGGAAACCUUCUGGGAAUAGUGUAGGUACUGUAGGCC